rnacentral:rRNA from 1 species
UACGUAGGGUGCGAGCGUUGCCCGGAUUUAUUGGGCGUAAAGGCGCGUAGGCGGCCACGCACGUCCGUUGUGAAAUCGCCCGGCUCAACUGGGCGGGGUCGGCGGAUACGGCGUGGCUGGAGCAAGCUAGGGGGCAAUGGAAUUCCCGGUGUAGUGGUGGAAUGCGUAGAUAUCGGGAGGAACACCAGUGGCGAAGGCGGUUGCCUGGUCCGGCACUGACGCUGAGGCGCGAAAGCGUGGGGA